GCCUACGGGAGGCAGCAGUAGGGAAUCUUCCACAAUGGGCGAAAGCCUGAUGGAGCAACGCCGCGUGGGUGAAGAAGGUCUUCGGAUCGUAAAACCCUGUUGUUAGAGAAGAAAGUGCGUGAGAGUAACUGUUCACGUUUCGACGGUAUCUAGCCAGAAAGCCACGGCUAACUACGUGCCAGCAGCCGCGGUAAUACGUAGGUGGCAAGCGUUAUCCGGAUUUAUUGGGCGUAAAGGGAACGCAGGCGGUCUUUUAAGUCCGAUGUGAAAGCCUUCGGCUUAACCGGAGUAGUGCAUUGGAAACU
rnacentral:rRNA from 1 species